CGAGUCCAAAACAUAGUCGCUGGUGCCAAACAGCACGAGAGGAAAGUCCGGGCAACAAAGGGCAGAAUGCUGGUUAACAACCAGGCAGCGUGAGCUGAUGGAAAGUGCAGCAGAAAACAUACCGCCGAUGGCCUUUCGAGGCACAGGUAAGGGUGAAAAGGCAGGGUAAGGGCCUACCGCGACUCUGGUGACAGAGUCGGCAGUGUAAACCCCAUUCGUUGCAAGUCCAAAUAGAACCGCAUUGAGGGCGGCCCGUCCAGCGGUUGGGUAGGACGCUUGAAAUUCUUGGCAACAAGAAUUCUAGAUAAAUGACUAUGACUCCCAUUGCGAAAUCAAUGGGAGCACAGAACCCGGCUUAAUGCGGGCUCUGUUG
rnacentral:RNase_P_RNA from 1 species